AGAGUUUGAUCCUGGCUCAGGAUGAACGCUAGCGGCAGGCCUAGUACAUGCAAGUCGAACGGUAAAUAUUUUAGCAAUAGAAUAUGAGAGUGACGUACGGGUGCGUAACGCGUAUGCAACCUACCCAAAACAGGAGUAUAGCUCGGGGAAACUCGGAUUAACACUUCAUAGUAUCAUUGGAAGGCAUCUUUUGGUGAUUAAAACUGAGGUGGUUUUGGAUGGGCAUGCGUCUGAUUAGCUAGUUGGUGGUGUAACGGACCACCAAGGCGAUGAUCAGUAGGGGACCUGAGAGGGUGAUCCCCCACACUGGCACUGAGAUACGGGCCAGACUCCUACGGGAGGCAGCAGUAGGGAAUAUUGGUCAAUGGAUGGAAGUCUGAACCAGCCAUGCCGCGUGCAGGAAGAAGGCCUUCUGGGUUGUAAACUGCUUUUGCCAGGGGCUAAAAGGCCCAUGCGUGGGAAAUUGAAAGUACCUGGUGAAUAAGCCACGGCUAACUACGUGCCAGCAGCCGCGGUAAUACGUAGGUGGCAAGCGUUGUCCGGAUUUAUUGGGUUUAAAGGGUGCGUAGGCGGCUUAUUAAGUCAGUGGUGAAAUAUCGCAGCUUAACUGUGAGGGUGCCAUUGAUACUGAUGAGCUUGAGUACAGAUGAGGUAGGCGGAAUUGACGGUGUAGCGGUGAAAUGCAUAGAUAUCGUCAAGAACACCUAUAGCGAAGGCAGCUUACUAAGCUGUAACUGACGCUGAGGCACGAAAGUGUGGGGAUCAAACAGGAUUAGAUACCCUGGUAGUCC
rnacentral:rRNA from 1 species